rnacentral:rRNA from 1 species
UACGUAGGGGGCGAGCGUUGUCCGGAUUUAUUGGGCGUAAAGAGCUCGUAGGCGGCUGUUCGAGUCGGGUGUGAAAUCCUGAGGCUUAACCUUGGGUCUGCAUUCGAUACUGCUAUGGCUUGAGUCCGGUAGGGGCCCACGGAAUUCCUGGUGUAGCGGUGAAAUGCGCGGAUAUCAGGAGGAACACCGGUGGCGAAGGCGGUGGGCUGGGCCGGUACUGACGCUGGAGGAGCGAAAGCGUGGGGAGCGAACAGG